UAUGGGCCCUUAAACCAUUCAUGUUGCCAUCCAAAUCAUGAAUGUUUUGGAGGCCCGUGG
rnacentral:pre_miRNA from 1 species